rnacentral:misc_RNA from 1 species
UCUCUCGGGGGCGAGCCGCCGGGGACUACUGAACUUCAUGCCUAAGAGUGAUGCAGUCUGAGUCUGAAUAUAAAAUCAGUCAAAACUUUCAACAAUGGAUCUCUUGGUUCCGGCAUCGAUGAAGAACGCAGCGAACUGCGAUAAGUAAUGUGAAUUGCAGAAUUCAGUGAAUCAUCGAGUCUUUGAACGCACAUUGCGCCCCCUGGCAUUCCGGGGGGCAUGCCUGUCCGAGCGUCAUUGCUGCCCAUCAAGCCCGGCUUGUGUGUUGGGUCGUCGUCCCCCCCGGGGGACGGGCCCGAAAGGCAGCGGCGGCACCGUGUCCGGUCCUCGAGCGUAUGGGGCUUUGUCACCCGCUCGAUUUAGGGCCGGCCGGGCGCCAGCCGACGUCCAACCAUUUUUCUUCAGGUGACCUC